rnacentral:rRNA from 1 species
UGCCAGACUCCUACGGGAGGCAGCAGUGGGGAAUAUUGCACAAUGGGGGAAACCCUGAUGCAGCAACGCCGCGUGAGUGAAGAAGUAUUUCGGUAUGUAAAGCUCUAUCAGCAGGGAAGAAAAUGACGGUACCUGAGUAAGAAGCCCCGGCUAACUACGUGCCAGCAGCCGCGGUAAUACGUAGGGGGCAAGCGUUAUCCGGAUUUACUGGGUGUAAAGGGAGCGUAGACGGCGAUACAAGUCUGAAGUGAAAGCCCGGGGCUCAACCCCGGGACUGCUUUGGAAACUGUGUUGCUGGAGUGCUGGAGAGGCAAGCGGAAUUCCUAGUGUAGCGGUGAAAUGCGUAGAUAUUAGGAAGAACACCAGUGGCGAAGGCGGCUUGCUGGACAGUAACUGACGUUGAGGCUCGAAAGCGUGGGGAGCAAACAGGAUUAGAUACCCUAGUACCC